UACGUAGGGGGCAAGCGUUGUCCGGAAUCAUUGGGCGUAAAGAGCUCGUAGGCGGCUCAGUAAGUCGGGUGUGAAACCCCCAGGCUCAACCUGGGGACGCCACCCGAUACUGCUGUGGCUAGAGUCCAGUAGGGGAGUGUGGAAUUCCCGGUGUAGCGGUGAAAUGCGCAGAUAUCGGGAGGAACACCAGCGGCGAAGGCGGCACUCUGGGCUGGUACUGACGCUGAGGAGCGAAAGCGUGGGGAGCAAACAGG
rnacentral:rRNA from 1 species